rnacentral:rRNA from 1 species
GACGAACGCUGGCGGCGUGCUUAACACAUGCAAGUCGAGCGGAGCGGCGAACGGGCGAGUAACGCGUGAGUAACUGCCCCCCUCUCUGGGAUAACAGUUGGAAACGGCUGCUAAUACCGGAUAGUGGGGGAUGACUCGCGUCCUAUCGGCGUGUUGGUGGGGUAGUGGCCUACCAAGGCGACGACGGGUAGCCGGCCUGAGAGGGGGACCGGCCACAUUGGGCUGAGAUACGGACCAGACGCCUACGGGAGGCAGCAGUGGGGAAGAUUGCACGAUGGGGGAAACCCUGAUGCAGCAGCGCCGAGGGCGUGAUGACGGCCUUCGGGUUGUAAACCGCUUUCAGCCAUGACGCGGUAGUGGCAGAAGAAGCACCGGCUAACUACGUGCCAGCAGCCGCGGUAAUUC